rnacentral:rRNA from 1 species
GACGAACGCUGGCGGCGUGCUUAACACAUGCAAGUCGAACGAAGUGGCGAACGGGUGAGUAAUACGUGAGUAACUGCCCUCCUUUUUGGGAUAAGCCUUGGAAAAGGGGUCUAAUACCGAAUAAAGGGGGAUGGGCUCGCGGCCUAUCAGCUUGUUGGUGGGGUGAUGGCCUACCAAGGCGGUGACGGGUAGCCGGCCUGCGAGGGGAUCAGUCACACUUGACUGAGACACGGUCCAGACUCCUACGGGAGGCAGCAGGGGGGAAUAUUGGACAAUGGGCGAAAGCCUGAUCCAGCCUUGCCUCGUGGAGGAUGACACUUUUCGGAGCGUAAACUCCUUUUAUCAGGAAAGCGGUACCUGAUGAAUAAGCACCGGCUAACUCCGUGCCAGCAGCCGCGGUAAUUC